UACGGGGGGAGCAAGCGUUGUUCGGGUUAUUCGGUCGGCUAAGAGGCGCGUAGGCGGCGUGACAAGUCACUUGUGAAAUCUCCGGGCUUAACUCGGAACGGUCAAGUGAUACUGUCGUGCUAGAGUACAGAAGGGGCAACUGGAAUUCUCGGUGUAGCGGUGAAAUGCGUAGAUAUCGAGAGGAACACCUGCGGCGAAGGCGGGUUGCUGGGCUGAUACUGACGCUGAGGCUCGAAAGCUAGGGGAGCAAACGGG
rnacentral:rRNA from 1 species